GUACGGCUUCGUGGACCGGGAAAGCCAUCUACUGUAGUAGCGUUGUGCGAAAAAUUAUCUUCAUAUAGCAAUCGCUUCAAGAUUCAUAGUUCGCCAUCAUCUGUGCGAUAUCUUAACGGACGUAUGCUGCACCGAGAUGGAUGGUAUUGUGGUGAUCAAAUUGAACUCGACAGUGCAACUCCACCCAAAAGCAGCAACCGUGAGGUACAUCGAUCACUUCCGGUGAAGUGAACGUGCCCGAAGUCGGCUUAUAUAGGACUUCCUGUGGAGCUGCGGAUGGAGCUGCUCUUAUUGGCUGCGUCUGGACUCUGGACAGUCUGGAGUCGGUCUCUUGGGAAAAGUGGGGCGAGGCUUCUUCGGAAACAGCCAAUUAAAAUGAAGAAUUGUUAUCCAAUAAGGAAAAACCACGGGAAACCAGUAGCCAAUACAGAAGCUAAUCGCAUUGUUAAACGCAUUGUUAAACGGGUUUCUUAAUUUGUUAUAACAUGUAAUGUUAGUGUGCUAAUAUGAUUAAUUAUGAUUAUGAUUCAUUAUUUAGGUUUUCCGUUUAUCCAGCGGCCCUGUACCAGCUUUUGGGUUUAAGCGUAUUCAACUCAACUCAACAAUGGUAUAAUCAUUCUGUCAAUCACUUGAUUAGAACCGAUGACUUUUUGUAAACGGGAACAGAUUCCUAGCCUGGAGAGCUACACACCGCUAUUUAACGUUUAUGUGAGAUAGUCCAGUAAAAUUCAUGGCGUAGCCGACUUAAAAACAUUUAUUCUUGAAUAUAAACUAAAAAUAUAUCCAGGUGGUCGAAAAAGCGAAUAUUUCCUAUGUUUGUGCGCCGCCUACCGGAUUGAAAUAGAACCAUUUUGCUGUGGGUAAGAACUGCAUAUCUUGUAAGUGUACUUAGAAAAACAUUGUAUUUUAAUAUACAGAAUAUUUUUCUGUGGUGAUUUUGAUGUUACAAUAAAUU